rnacentral:rRNA from 1 species
AGUUUGACUGGGGCGGUCGCCUCCUAAAGAGUAACGGAGGCGCCCCAAGGUUCCCUCAGAAUGGUUGGAAAUCAUUCGAAGAGUGCAAAGGCAAAAGGGAGCUUGACUGCGAGACUGACAAGUCGAGCAGGGACGAAAGUCGGGCUUAGUGAUCCGGUGGUACCGCAUGGAAGGGCCAUCGCUCAACGGAUAAAAGCUACCCUGGGGAUAACAGGCUUAUCUCCCCCAAGAGUCCACAUCGACGGGGAGGUUUGGCACCUCGAUGUCGGCUCAUCGCAUCCUGGGGCUGAAGUAGGUCCCAAGGGUUGGGCUGUUCGCCCAUUAAAGCGGUACGCGAGCUGGGUUCAGAACGUCGUGAGACAGUUCGGUCCCUAUCUGUCGUGGGCGUAGGAAAUUUGAGAGGAGCUGUCCUUAGUACGAGAGGACCGGGAUGGACGCACCGCUGGUGCACCAGUUGUUCCGCCAGGAGCACAGCUGGGUAGCUAAGUGCGGACGGGAUAAGCGCUGAAAGCAUCUAAGCGUGAAGCCCCCCUCAAGAUGA